CUCUUCCCGGUGCAGCAAAUUAGCUCCACUCGUUCCCGACCCAACAAGACAGUAGAUCGAUUCCACUAUGCCCAGUCCCGUCGUUUCCUGCGCCACUUCGGAGCUCCGAUGCUCAGCCCUUUCUCGUAUCCCCGCCUCCGACGCGGGUAGCCUUCAGGUCAGGCUGCGGUUACUUCUUUGUCCAUUUGGUUCCAAUAUUGUAGUUCGUACAGCAUGGUGAGUUUUGAGUUAUAUUCUCAGAUGAGCGUCGAUGAUGAGCCAACAGGUGUAAUGAGAUUUUGCAUUACUCCAACAUAGGGUUUAGCUUCUGGCAGUUUCUAACCACAUCACUGUUCGGUGGGGGUUGUCUUACCUGUUUAUUCUACAUUCAAGGCCAUUGAGACGAAGGAUCAAGAUGACCAACACAAAUGGCUUGUAUGCUGGGCUGGUAUGUCAUGGGAUAUGGCUUCUUUUGCCUUCAAAUACUGAUAAGUGAUGCUUGUACAAGAACUUUUGUUCUCCAAUAUUUUAAACUGUGAAAAAGUCUUAUUUUGAUAUGCAUAAUCGUCCAGAUGAAGUAUAACAGUCUUUGGUUUUUGGUCCUUAACUGAAUGACCUUAUAAUUUGACAUAACUUACUCUUAUGCUUUUAUUGACAGUAAUCAGAUAAAAAUGGAAUAUAAAGAAUGCUUUCUGUAUGCCUUUGUUUAUUUUGGGGAGUUACAGGAAAUUUCUUCUUGUU